rnacentral:rRNA from 1 species
GCUAUACAUGCAAGUCGAACGAACUUCCGUUAAUUGAUCAUGGACGUGCUUGCACUGAAUGAGAUUUUAACACGAAGUGAGUGGCGGACGGGUGAGUAACACGUGGGUAACCUGCCCAGAAGCAGGGGAUAACACCUGGAAACAGAUGCUAAUACCGUAUAACAGAGAAAACCGCCUGGUUUUCUUUUAAAAGAUGGCUCUGCUAUCACUUCUGGAUGGACCCGCGGCGCAUUAGCUAGUUGGUGAGGUAACGGCUCACCAAGGCGAUGAUGCGUAGCCGACCUGAGAGGGUAAUCGGCCACAUUGGGACUGAGACACGGCCCAGACUCCUACGGGAGGCAGCAGUAGGGAAUCUUCCACAAUGGACGCAAGUCUGAUGGAGCAACGCCGCGUGAGUGAAGAAGGGUUUCGGCUCGUAAAGCUCUGUUGUUAAAGAAGAACGUGGGUGAGAGUAACUGUUCACCCAGUGACGGUAUUUAACCAGAAAGCCACGGCUAACUACGUGCCAGCAGCCGCGGUAAUACGUAGGUGGCAAGCGUUAUCCGGAUUUAUUGGGCGUAAAGCGAGCGCAGGCGGUCUUUUAAGUCUAAUGUGAAAGCCUUCGGCUCAACCGAAGAAGUGCAUUGGAAACUGGGAGACUUGAGUGCAGAAGAGGACAGUGGAACUCCAUGUGUAGCGGUGAAAUGCGUAGAUAUAUGGAAGAACACCAGUGGCGAAGGCGGCUGUCUGGUCUGUAACUGACGCUGAGGCUCGAAAGCAUGGGUAGCGAACAGGAUUAGAUACCCUGGUAGUCCAUGCCGUAAACGAUGAUUACUAAGUGUUGGAGGGUUUCCGCCCUUCAGUGCUGCAGCUAACGCAUUAAGUAAUCCGCCUGGGGAGUACGACCGCAAGGUUGAAACUCAAAAGAAUUGACGGGGGCUCGCACAAGCGGUGG